GUGGGGAAUUUUGCGCAAUGGGCGAAAGCCUGACGCAGCGACGCCGCGUGAGGGAUGAAGGUCUUAGGAUUGUAAACCUCUGUCAGGAAGCAUUAAAUGCACGGGUAUCAACACCAUCCGUGCUUGACUUAACUUCCAGAGGAAGCCCCGGCUAACUACGUGCCAGCAGCCGCGGUAAUACGUAGGGGGCAAGCGUUACUCGGAUUUAUUGGGCGUAAAGAGAAUUCAGGCGGUCAUGUAAGUCAGUGGUGAAAUACCUAGGCUCAACUUAGGAAUUGCCUUUGAUACUGCGUGACUUGAGGACAGGAGAGGAAGGCGGAAUUCCCGGUGUAGCGGUGGAAUGCGUAGAUAUCGGGAGGAACACCUGAGGCGAAGGCGGCUUUCUGGACUGGUCCUGACGCUGAUAUUCGAAAGCUAGGGGAGCAAACAGGAUUAGA
rnacentral:rRNA from 1 species